rnacentral:rRNA from 1 species
CCAGACUCCUACGGGAGGCAGCAGUGAGGAAUAUUGGUCAAUGGGCGAGAGCCUGAACCAGCCAAGUCGCGUGAGGGAAGACGGUCCUAUGGAUUGUAAACCUCUUUUGUCGGGGAGCAAAAAGGCCUCGUGAGGCCACAAGUGAGAGUACCCGAAGAAAAAGCAUCGGCUAACUCCGUGCCAGCAGCCGCGGUAAUACGGAGGAUGCGAGCGUUAUCCGGAUUUAUUGGGUUUAAAGGGUGCGUAGGCGGACUGGAAAGUCAGCGGUAAAAUCGAGAGGCUCAACCUCUUUCCGCCGUUGAAACUGUCGGUCUUGAGUGGGCGAGAAGUAUGCGGAAUGCGUGGUGUAGCGGUGAAAUGCAUAGAUAUCACGCAGAACUCCGAUUGCGAAGGCAGCUUACUAAACUAUAACUGACACUGAAGCACGAAAGCGUGGGGAUCAAGCAGGAUUAGAUACCCGAGUA